UACGGGGGGGGCAAGCGUUGUUCGGAAUUACUGGGCGUAAAGGGCUCGUAGGUGGCCAACUAAGUCGGACGUGAAAUCCCUCGGCUUAACCGGGGAACUGCGUCCGAUACUGGUUGGCUUGAGUGCAGGAGAGGAGAGCGGAAUUCCCGGUGUAGCGGUGAAAUGCGUAGAGAUCGGGAGGAACACCAGUGGCGAAGGCGGCUCUCUGGCCUGUUACUGACGCUGAGGCGCGAAAGCUAGGGGAGCAAACGGGG
rnacentral:rRNA from 1 species